rnacentral:lncRNA from 1 species
AGUUUAUGCACCAGAUAGUGCUGGAAGAUACGUGCUAUCUUAUGGGGGAUUAAUCAAGGAGGUAAACCAUUUGAAAUGCAGAUGACAUAGCUUUCACUACCAUACUCUGCUGUAAAAGAAUCAGCCCUAAGUAGUGGAAGCCCAUGUGCAGGCUGCUGCCUUGACUGAUACAUUGAGGAAUGAACCACAGACCUUGGGGGA